rnacentral:rRNA from 1 species
ACGUAGGCUGCAAGCGUUGUUCGGAGUUACUGGGCGUAAAGAGCGUGUAGGCGGUUCGCCAAGUUAGGUGUGAAAUCUCCGGGCUCAACUGGGGGGGUGCGCCGGAUACUGGCGGGCUAGAGUGCGGGAGAGGGGAACGGAAUUCCUGGUGUAGCGGUGAAAUGCGUAGAUAUCAGGAGGAACGCCUGAGGUGUAGACGGCUCUCUGGACCGUUUCUGACGCUGAGGCGCGAAAGCGUGGGAAGCAAACAG